rnacentral:lncRNA from 1 species
GAGCAAAACCCUAAGUAAAACAAUGGAGUCAAAUCACUAGUUUUCUAGGUUUAUACCGGCAACAUAGUUCAAGUUCAAGAAAAUCGGUAUAAGAAAAAUAGAAAAACAGUAUAACACAAUCCAGAUAGUAACAUUAUUUUAUGCAAAAAUCAGUGUAAAUUAGUAUAACAAAAUCAAAUCAGUAUAACACAAUCCAGAUAGUAACAUUAUUUUAUGCAAAAAUCAGUGUAAAUCAGUAUAACAAAAUUAGUAUACGAAAAUCAGUCUAAACUAGUAUAACACAAUCACUAAAUCAUAAUUUAUGCAAAAAUAGUAACAUUAUAAGAAAAAUCCAGAAAAAAAUCUAAAACCCUAAGUUUACAUACCUUUUCCAGUUUUAUCCAUAAUUUUUGCUUGAAUAGUCAAAAACUCUGUAAUUAGUGGAUCCUUUGAGAUGUGGAGCUGCAAAUCACCAACAAUAACAAAAUAUUAUAAAAAAAACCCUAGAAAUCACAAAAUCAGUAACAUGCAAAAGUUAAUAGACAUUUAUUCUAAAUAUUAUAGUUGAUUUUAAGUAAUAGCGAAGAUUAACAUACCUUUUUUCGAGUUCGAAGUGAUUUUUUGCACUGUAGAAGAUGAGCAGCUUCAGAUCACCAGUUUCUUCACUUCGAUUUCUUGUAAUUACUUUAGUAUCGACGUAUUUGAAGCGUUUUUUAGCACUGUUACAAGCACAAAUUAUAGAUUUGUGCUAGACUGAGUGUUGGUAUCAGGUGAUUUUAGUGGGAGAGAAGAUGGUGGAAUGCGUGUGUAAUUAGUGCCGCUGUAACUGAAUUGAUUGUAACUGUAUGUAUUGUCGGUAAGAAUUUAAAUUUUUAGUGGAUGGGCAGUUGAUAAUUUGUUUGGGCCGAUCACAAAACUAGUGGACUUGGGCCUGUGGUUCGCAGUUUGUAUUUAAGCAGGUAUGUACUCGAGCACCACUCUAUAUAUAUAUAGUUAAGUUCCAUGGAGUACAUAAAAGCAUUGGAAUAUUGGUGUACAAAUCAUAAUUUUUUAAUUUGAUCCUAUAUAAUAUCUUUGAUUAUCCAAAUUUUGAUAUAAUCUAUCAUUUAUAAGUUGUGUUGCACAUAAUUGUCAAUUAAUCAUUAAUAUCUGUCAACUUUAACAAGUAUUAAGAUUAUUGUUCUGCUUAUUAGUUAUAUUGCAGAACAUAGAGUCUUAUGAUUUAUAAAAGUAAUUAUUCUACCAUUUGAUCACGAUGUUUAUGUUGCAGAACAUAAUGUGCAGGUUGUCAAAUAUUUACAAAUAUUAUUGGACAAAAAAAAUUGAAAUUUAGAUGAUUAGAUUACAUUUUAUCAAACUUUGUACUUCAAUACUCCAAUUUUUUUUUGUACUCCAUAAAACUUAUAUACUCCCUCUGUCCCUCUCAUUUCUUUACAGUUACUAUUUUGGGAUGUCCCUCUCAUUUCUUUACAUUACCAUAAAUAGUAAGUUUUCUCCAUCAUUACACCCACUAUCUUCCCCCACUAUCUCAUAUUUAACAAUAAAAACUACUAUUACACCCACUACUUUCCUCCACUAUCUCAAAUCUAUUAUUAAAAAUUGAUUGGUCCCACCACUUUACCCACUUUUCAUCUAACUUUACUCAUUUUUCAUACAUUGUCUUGGUCUCCGUGUCCCCCUCCAAUGUAAACAAUUGAGGGGGACGGAGGGAGUAUAUAUUAAAUAUAAGUAUACAAGUCUUACCUAAUAAUAAAUUAUAUUAUAUUUGUUAUUAUAAAAUUAAAUUCAAAAGAUGACAUUAUUUAAAACUAAUUUGUUAAUACUUAUAAUAUAAAAUUUAAAAUUAUUAAAAUAUUAAUAUUUUAAAUUUAUUUUCAGAACCGCGCGAAGCGCGGUUUUAUCACCUAGUUUUGUUAUAAUAUUAAUUAAUAACGAAUUCGUGCGAUUAUAGACAUAAAUUUAUCAGUUCAUCACCUACACUUUUAAUUAAAAUUCCAUUUAAUUGUCAGAAAGUAAUCCAAAUCCGAUUUUAAGAAUUUUUUUAUUUUUUUUGAGUAACGAUUUUAAGAAAGUUAUUUUUCCGGAACAAAAAAUCGUCGAAAAAUGUAUAUCGAAAUGUGUUCGAAAAAUAUUUUAUACAAAGGAAAGAAAGCAGGCCGUUGAGCGGCUUGGAGUUCGGAGUUGAGACGACAGAAAGCACACGGCUGUAACAAAAGUACACAAGUGACAAACAUGUGUGUCAGUGUCUCUAUACAUAUCCCCAUCUCUAUCUCAACUCGAGUCAAUUUUAGUCCUGGUCCAAAAUAAAAAUCUCCUAGUAAUAAAACAAAACUAAAGCUGGCGAAAAUGGUGGUCGGUGGCCGUACUUCCGGCGUGCUUUUCUUGGUGGUUCUGACGGCGAUCGUGACGGCGGUGACCGGGAAUUCAGAGGGGGAUGCGCUGGUCGCGUUGAGACGCAGCUUGACAGAUCCCGGCAACGUGCUUGAUAGCUGGGACUCUACUCUUGUGAAUCCUUGUACUUGGUUUCAUAUUACUUGUAAUCAAGAUGGUCAUGUCACUAGAGUGUAAAUAACUACACCCCUUUUAUUUCUUUUGUAUGUGUGUGUGAUGCUUGUUUAGUUGUGUGUGUGUGUGUUUUGAUUUUGUUUAUGUGUGAUUUUGUGUGUUUAAUUUGGGGGUUUUUAUAUGUGUGUGUGUAUGUCAUGUUUGGAUGUUUUGAUUUGGUGUUUAAGAUUUGUGUAUGUGAGGGUUUUCAGUCUGUAUAUGUGUGUGUCUAUUUGGUGUGUAUUUGAUGUUUACAUGUUUGAUUUAGGUUUGUGCAUGUUUUUUGUUUGAAUUUCGUAUGUUUGAUUAUUUGUGGGUUAAUGUUUUGUGCGUUUAGAACGGUGGAUCGAAAUUUAUGUCUCUGAAAUUUCUAUUGAUUGACAUGUCGUUUAUUUACUAGUUUGAUGUUCUUUUUUGUUAUGUAUGUGAAGGCCUAUAUUGAGUUUGGUUGGGCUUUAUUUGUGUAUAUGAAGGUUAUUAAUUAUAUUAUUAGUCAUAGAUGUUCUAUUGUUUUGGAUUGUGUUUUAUUGCUUGAAUUGUAGUUUAUACGAGUUACUAUUCUUUACUAUUAUGAGGUCUUUUUUCUAUUCUUGUGAUGGGCUUUUCGUGAUUGUUAAGGCUUUUUCUAUUUAUGUGAAGAGCUUGUUGAGAUUGUUAAGGCUUUACGUGUAUAAAUGAAUGUUUCAAUCUGUAUGUGGAACUGUUUCUUAGUAUACAUAUAUUGUGUUUCUGGAUUGAGUGUUCGCUACUUGAUUUUUAUUUGACAAGGUUUUGUUUUCUAUACUUGGUUGAUUAUUUUUUUCCCUACAUAUGUGAAGGUCUUUAUUCAGAUUGGGAGUAAUUAAGUUAGGGUCAUAAACUUAUGUGAACUCUAGCAAUAAAUCGUAGCAAAAAGGUGUUUUUGAAAAUUUCAUAUGAUAAGGCUGCGCGGGCAAUGCUUUUCCUUGUCGUAUUAGAUAGUCAAUAACUAUGAUUGAUCUUGGGGAAGGGAACUGCUCAAAUUAUGAGAUUCGGUCAUGCAACCUUUUACGUAGGCAGCGGUGAACCGUAUAUUUGGACCAAUGGGCUGUUAUAAUUUGUCUGACUCUUUAUUUAUUUUUUCAGUUUGCUGAUAUAUCUGGACGACUGAAGCAGUGUACUAAAUUUUUGUGGUUUAGUAGAAUAAUUCUCUGACGUUCGCUAUUUGGGAUAAUAUUUGCAUGCUUCUAAAAUAUAACUUUUCGUUAUGGCGCCGCAAGUAAAACGGUUAUCUAAUGCUAUUCACAGCAUCACAUUAUAUGAAUUUUGUUACUCUGUUGGAGACCCAUUUUUUGUUGUAAGAAUUAUCCUUUUUAUUCUCCUAUAUUAAGAAUCUGCUAUAUCUGCUCCCACCAUCCCCAUCAGUAUCUACUUUUUAUACUUCCUUAAUAUGGCCAAAGAUAGGAAACCAGUGCCACAAUUUAUAGAAGCAACUUGACAUACUUAUUAACAUGCUUUGAUUAAAUUUGGAAAGACAAUCUAUUUACUUUUGCAAGUCUCAAAUGUCGUUAUUUCAUUUAGUUCAGUCUUGCGCUGGUCGGGUCAUGGCUCAAAUUCAUCAUGUACUAACUGCUUGUUAUUAAUUGCUGCAGGGACCUUGGUAACACAAAUUUGUCUGGUGUUUUGGUACCUGAUCUCGGAAAACUCCAAUAUCUCCAGUAUCUGUGAGUACUUGUGAUUGCAAUAGCUCUUAUGUGCUGCUAAUGAUGAACAUAUCAGUUGGUUACAUGAGCUCUAACAUAACUGAUGUCAAGUUUUCAGAAAAUAAAUAUUAAUACAGAUAUUUUAAUGAACUAAAAAAUGUAAUCCAAACUUGUUAUGAUUCAGUGAGCUUUACAAAAAUAACAUUCAUGGGACUAUCCCAAACGAGCUGGGCAAUUUGAAGAAUCUAAUAAGCUUGGACUUGUACAACAACAAUCUCACAGGGAUUAUUCCUCCUACUCUGGGAAAGUUGCAGUCUCUUAUUUUCUUGUAAGUUGGCCGCCUUCUCACUGAAGUGUCUCCAUUUAUAUAUGCCUGUAAAAUUUAUUCACCUCAAUUAUCAUUCAAGAAGAAGACUGCUGCCUAAUUGGAAAGGAGGAUUCUAGAUAAAGUCACGAGUCCCUUUUCUCUGUAUAUAUCUCAAACAUCACUCUAUGUACUAACUAUGGAUUAAAACUUGACAUUCUCUUUUCCAGGCGUCUGAGCAAUAAUCGUCUGGUUGGGAGAAUUCCCAGGGAACUUGUUAACGUUUCCACCCUGAAAGUUGUGUAAGUGUUCAACAUUUCGUUGAAGUUGCAUAUAUAGAGUAGUAAAUGAAUUGUUGUAAUAAACGUUUUUAUGUAUUUCAGUGAUGUCUCAAGCAAUGACUUAUGCGGAACAAUUCCUACCAAGGGUCCAUUUCAGCAUAUUCCAUUAAGCAAGUAAGACUUGUUAGAGCAUAUUGUUUGCCUAUUUUUCGGUGCUUCAUAUUUUCUAGAUGUCAUUUUACCUUUUCUGGUUCAAACUGUGCAGCUUUGCUAAUAAUCCUCGACUCGAAGGACCAGAGCUGGAGGGGCUUGCGAGGUACGAUACAAACUGCAUAUGAACAGGAGAUCAGAGGUGCAUGAAAAUGCAAGUGAUAAUGUGUGCUAGUUUAAUACUUGUGUCUUAUAAAAAAGUAUCAGAAUAGCAUCUUGUCUUACAAGAUGUUUAUAUAUGUAAGCCCUAUAUGAGGCUUUGUGGUGUAACUUUGUGAUGAAAAUCAAUGUGAAAGAUGACUGUCAGCAAACCUGGAAUCAUGUGAAACCCGGUUAUGUUGUCUGUUAUCGUUAUGGCGAGUUUCAUAUAAGAAAGAAUUGGCGCUACAAGUAUAUACUUGCACAUAAAACUUGCAUUAUUUAGCAUAAGGAUUAAAGAUGGUAAUAAUUCAUGAAGGAUCGACUUCAUGGAUUAAUUAUCAACUCUAUUUCCUUACGUAGGACAGCAAUAAUAAUUUUUCAAGUUGUUUCGGAAGAUUUAAUAUGUAAACCAGUAUUGAUUUGAAAUUCUCACCAGUAAAGAAAAUUGCCUGGUGGCAUCUAAUUUACAGGGGUAAAAGUGCUCUUGUGGUGUUUUGUGAUAACAGUAACAGAUGCCAUAUCACUUUUAACCUCUUCAGCUGCCAUAGUCAUGUUAUUGGCCAUUCUCAUGGCACUGUAUAAAGAAGAAGAUUUCUUGAAAUCCCUGCCUAUGAAACUGAUGUUUGCGCUCCUGACAUGACUCCUUGCGAUUAUGGCCAUGAUGAUUGCUUUCAGCGCCAGCUUCGUUCUGUUUUUUUGAAAGUGGCAAAUGGGUCACUUUUUUUAACUGGAAUUCUAUCGAAAUACCCCCUCGUCUCAAUUUAUAAGUUAUUUUUGUUUUUUCAAGAGUCAAAUUGACUAAUUUUAUAAAUUUCAGUUGAAGUAUAAUCAAUUUGACUAGUCAAAAGAGACUUAUAUAUUGAGACGCAAAGAGUAUAACGUAAAAUCUAUUUUGGGGCCUCUCUCUAUACAAUAUGAUAUUAGAGCUCAAAUUCGAGGAAGGUUUUAAGUUCGAUUCUUAUCGGAGCUUAGAUUUGAAUGACGGCCAUAGUAUCUGUUUUUCAUCCAUUAUUCGAUCUAUUUCCUGAUUCCGCAAUUUGAUCCUUCCCGGUCCCUCUUCCAUAUUGAAGUAAUCGCAAAAUUUAGACUUAAUCACCAAAAAAAUCAUCAAACUCUUGUGAUUUUUUCAUUUUAACCAUAAAACUAAUUUUGUUGCAGAAAAAUGCAAUUAAUUAAUAGAAAACAUACUUGAGGGAACCUAAUUUGAAAUAGUUUCUAACCAUAGUUAAAUGGUAUCCUAUGCAGCAUUUCUAAAAUAUCUUUUUUGUAUAUUUUUAUUUUAAAUAUUUACAUAAUUCAUUAUACACACACCAAACAAUUAGUUUUUAUUUGAAUUAUUAGGGUUCGUCAUAAUAUAAUUCUAAAUUAUUGUCGGAAAAAUAAUGAAUUUAAUUUAUAAGUUUACAUUUUAUUUUUAUUAUUAAGAAUUUAAUUUAAUUUAAUUCUUUUGAAAUACCAACAGCCUACCAGGUAAAUUAAAAUGAACUCUUACUAAUAAAGAUAAAAUGUAAAUUUAUAAAUUAAAUUAAUUAUUUUUCUAACAUUAAUUUAAAAUUAUAUUAUGACGAACCCUAAUAAUUCAAAUAAAAACUGAUUGUUUGGUGUGUUUAUAAUGGAUUAUGUAAAUACUCCCUCCGUCCCAAGUCAUGCUUUUUUGAUUUUCAAGAAGUCACAUAGAACAAUCUUUGACCAUAUGUUAAAAAUUAUUUAUUUAUUAUUUUAGAAAAUAAAAAGUCACACUUUAAAAUAGAUUAAAUAUCCUUUAAAAUGACAUAAUUUUUUUUAUUUUUUUCUAUUAUUUAAUAUAUAAAAAUUUAAGUCAAAAUAUAGUUAAUUUGACUGGUCAAAUAUCAAAAUAAACAUAUAUUUUGGGACGGAGGGAGUAUUUAAAAUAAAAUUAUAAAAAAAGAUAUUUCAGUAAUGUUGCAUAGGAUACCAUUUAACCAUGGUUAGAAACUAUUUAAAAUUGGUCUCUCAAAUUUGUUUUCUAUUAGUUAGUUGCAUUUUUCUGCAACAAAAUUAGUUUUAUGGUUAAAAUGAAAAAAUCACAAAAGUUUAAUAGUUUUUUCGGUAAUUAAGUCUAAAAUUUAUUCGCGAUGUAUAUUUGAGCUAGACUACUAAAUUUUCCAAUAAAAUUAUAAUUUUUUGCAAAAAAAUAUAUCAACAGUUUUUUUGUCAAUAAUCUAAAAAAAAAGUUUGGUUGUUUAUAAAAGAUGCAUCUCCUUCUCGCAUGUCGAGUUCUUAUUAAGAGAAACUUUGUUUACUAUAAAAAAUAUAAUAAUUUUAAUUAUCAAAGUAUCCCUGACAUUUUUUUUUUUAAUUUAAGUGCAGGAUUUCUAAUCUUUUUGACUAAGCCAAAUACUAGAACCAGGCCAUCAUUUCCAAAAUAAAUAAAUAAAUAAAACGAAGCCUGAUAUAUGCAGAAUCGAAAUGAAAAAAUUACACAUUUGUUUCGCUCAUAUAUAUAACCUUGAAGACCUAGCCCUAAUACUCUCUUCUAUACAUGCAUCCUUGUUUUCUCCCUCUAAACACAAGGUUUAAUCAUUUGCAUACCAUGAUUGAUCUUAUUUAUAGAUAUCUGCAUGUUUAUGCAAUAAUAAUCUUGAUUACUUUGUGUUUUGCAGAUAAUUAUUGAGGACAAAAGGAUGGACGUCCAAGUUCAAGUUUACUUUAAUAUAAGCUUCGGAUGAAUUUAAAUCAAGGUCUAUUUCUCCGAUUUUCGAUAAUUUAGAUUAUGAUUAUAUCAUCUGUACAAAAUUUGUUAUGGAACCGACAGAUCAAGGUUUAUUCAGUUCGGAUUUUGAAUGGCUUUUUUUUUUUUUUUUGAAUUCACGGGUAUUCAGUUCGGAUUUUAUUUGAUUUACGAAUUACUGAAUUGGAAAUAUAUGUAUAGGAUCAUUUCAUUACUAAUAGUUUAUGCAAUUCAACUUGGUGAAGUUGUUAUGAGUUUGUUUUUGAUAGAAAACUCUGGCCAUGAGUCUGUAGUGAUGUAUUUAAUUUGAUCGAGGAUCACACUUUUCUUUUUCAAAUUUCGCAGCCAUCCGCACCUGAUUAUCUUGCGGCGGAAGGGACGGAAAGUUAUUAUGACUAGCUUCAUCUUUCCUUCCUGUAAAAGCGUGUGUUUGAGUAUGGCUUUGUUUUGAAAAUUGAAAUUAAACUCAAAACUUAUCACACCCCUCGGGUUUGACAUUUUAUCGACUAUAUUGAUCAGCUAUAUUUUGAGGUCAUUUAUGCAACUAUGAUGCUGCGACUAUUGGGUCGCAGAUGGUUUGCAGAGUUAAUUUGCAGUGAAAAAUGUCUGAAAUUAGUUAAUUGUACGAUCUGUAUUGUACCUUUUAUAAAUUAUUACACGUCGCAGGAUUCAUGACUAGAAAUAUUUUAUAAAUCUAUAGGCGGAUGCUUCCUUGAAUGCCAGUUGUGUGUGUGCGUGUGUGUAUUAAAGAAUCCGUUAGUAUAGUAAUCUCCUAUAAAUUUCAUUAGUCAACUCUUGCUCCCUCUAGGACGAGUCAUUAACUGUCAUUUCUUUAACCGAUUAAGUGGAAACUAAUUAACUAAUGCAGGGCCAAGAAGACGAAGAAAAUGUCAUCAUCAAACUCUCCAUGUGCAGCUUGCAAGUUACUCCGGAGAAAAUGCACACAGGAAUGUGUAUUCGCCCCCUAUUUCCCACCGGAUCAACCUCAAAAGUUUGCAAAUGUUCACAAGGUUUUUGGCGCAAGCAAUGUAGCUAAACUGCUUAAUGAUUUACCUGCAGUACAGCGGGAAGAUGCUGUCAACUCUCUGGCCUAUGAGGCUGAUGCUCGUCUCCGGGAUCCUAUUUAUGGAUGUGUGGGAUUAAUCUCCAUCCUCCAGCACAAGCUGAAGCAGGUACAGAUGGAAUUGUAUAAUGCCAAGAAAGAGUUAUCGACUUACAUUGGGCCGUCUGCAAUGUUGCCUAUACUCCCUGCUCCAGGAAAUUUCAUUCCUCCAUACCAACAUCAGCAACCGUCUCAGAUGAUGCCAUACAAUAUGCAAGCGGCUCAAAUGAUGGGGGGAUCACCACAAAAUGUGGUGAAUCCUAAUCCACUAGUGAUCCAACAACAGCAGAACUAUCAACAAAUUAUGGAGGCUCAGCAAGUAGCAGCAGUGGUGGCGGCUGCUAGAGAACAGGAAAUGUUGAGGAGUUAUGAGCAGCAACAGGCCGUCCUGACACAACAGCAAGGACGUCACUCUGAUCAGGUGAGGUAUGAUGCAACAGGCCAGGGCACGGACCAUGCUCGUGGUGCUGUGUUUAAUCACAUGGGUGUUUCAGCCGGGAUGGCACCUGCAUUGGGUUUGGGUUCGUUUGAAGGUUCUUAUCAGACUCAGCAACACACACAAAAUGAUCAGCCUCAUCAUGAACUUCAGGCCACACAAACUUUUCUUGAGGAACAGCAGCAGCAAGGUUUGGCACUGGCUCAACCCCAGCAGUUGGAUCCAACACAGCAGCAGCAAGGUUUGGCACUGGCGCAGCCCCAACAGUUGGAUCUACAGCAGCAGCAGCAGCAGCAGCAACAGCUUCCGCUUCAGCAGCACAGAGAUGGAAGUGAAGAGGAGGAGUGAAGCAUUGGUCCUCUGUGAUACUUUCCAACACUUUUUUGGUUAGUUAGGUAAGCUAUUCAUCUCUUUUUUUGGCAUCGAAUAUUUGCCGCUACUGUUUUCUGGAUUUGAAUUCAGUCAGGGUUUUACUGCUCACCAUCACUACAAAAAACUCUCCAUAUGACCCUGAAGUACAAUUCCAAACUGUUUCUAUGACAGACAGACUCUAUCAACUUAUGUUUUAAAAGUCAAAAGAAUUAUUCAAUCAGGAAAAAACACUACCAUUUGGAUCAUUUAACUGCAAACAGUUACAUGAACCUCAAUAUUACCAACAUAUGAAUUGGUUUUCGGCAUAAGAUUUGGUAUUAUGAUUCUUAGCUUGAACUGGGUUCUUCUCUAGGGAGGGGGAAAGGCCGGAGUUACUCCUCCAUAGUUAUUCGUUGAAUUUUUGUCUUGUCAUCGCCCAAAUAUGAUGCACAUCUGGUAAUGAAUAAUGAUUAAACCACUUCUGCAUGCAUCAACUCUUGUUUGCUCAUCGUUGCUAGUCUUUGUCGUGUAAAUAUUAUUUUGCUUAACUUUCAUGUGUUCAUGUAGUUCUGUAGGUAUGGAUUUGAAUAUCCUCCUCCUCUUGUUCUUAGAAAUAUAAGUGUUUCAUUUGUGAUCUUAUUAUUUCUUCUGCAGCUGACUACUUCUGUCGUGUGUAAGCCAAGCGUGCAGCGGAAAAAAGAGAAAGAAGGAGAGAUAUUCACAUCUGAGAGAGUAAAGGUUGUAAUUCAGUGAGUAGCUAUCUAGUGUUUGUAAAUUUACAGUAUUUUUUGGAUAUUGAACAUGCAAACUGUAUUACGUACUAAGCUCAAGGAUAUCGCAUUCUUCUAGUGUUGGUGUACAACACUAGAAACUGGUGUCACAUGAAAUUAAUGGCAGAAGAGAAGUAUGUAUGAGAAAAGAGUCAAGAAACCGAUAGACUCCAGAUUUGAAGGAUAUUAGUUCCAAGUAGAAAUGAGCAUUCAUCCCCAAAUGUGUUAAACUGACCUCUUAUUCCAACGCGUAAUGAAAUAGUUGAAAGUUUAUUUACCCAAAUAUUAGAUAUAUAUUUUUUCUCUUUUGACCAUAUCGCUGGACCAAGAGGCCAUUGGUUUAGAUAUAUUUUACUUGAUGAUUGAACAUAUCUACUUGCAAGUAAAGCAAGUAUCCGAGUGCGCAGUACGCUUACAUUUAGUUAAUUGAGAUAUCGAUGUUAGAUCUUGUUUUAAUAUUUCAUUCCCCAUGUUACACUGCUAGUUGAAAAUUAUGUUAAUGUACUUGCUUAGAUACAGAUCACCGAAAGAUCCUUAUUGCUCUUAUAGAAUGUCAAUAUCAGUAGUUUAUGCAGUUGGAAACCGUGUUGCAUUCAUAGCAAUUGUUCACGUUGAGCUCUACUGGAAACUGCAUCAUCCAGAAAACUCAAAAAACUAUACACAAAUGUUCUGAUAGCAGUUCAAAUCUGCAGGUACGUUAUUACGAAGCAGCCAUUUUUAACUGACAUCAAAUUUAGUAUAUAAGAGUAUUAUUAGUUGAGUCAGAAUCGAAGUCAAGGUGUUUGUGAUAAUCUGAGUUUAUUUUUUAUGGAAAAUAAUCUGAAUUAAAAUUUGAGGUUUAAGCCGUGAGCAUCGGAAACGUAAACUUCAUUUUCUCUCCUCUGAUUAUAUAAUCUAUUACUAUGUAGAUGAUGUUAAAGACUAUUGUGCGUGUAAAAAGUGGUGAAAUUAUCAUGUCACUAUAUCAUCUACGACUCCAUGGUCACUGGAGUUCUGAAACUCUGGCAUUGUUUCAUCGCGUUUAUGCAUAUGAAGUUACCAGACUAGUAGUAAUAUGUAGUUAAGUGAAUCUCUUCAGUUGCCAGUGGCUUUAAGUCUAAAAUGAUCUGAUCGAGACGAGACUAGUAGUAAUAUGUAGUUAUGUACCGGUAGACGAUCUUCAAUCCCUCAAUCCUGACCGACUUGUUUAUAAAAACGUAUCAAACAGCCCUACUAGCCGGCUCUAGCUGAUAACUUAAUGAUCCAAUCUCGUUGUAAAAUCGUGUAAGAAUCUUGUUGUAGAAUCGUGCAAGAGCAUUUUAAUGUCUGAUUUUAGAUAUGUGAAAUUUCAUCAGGAUACAGAAAUAUAGAUAAGCAUUCAACUUAUUACGACUAAAUAUAUCAAAAGUGAUUAAUGAUAUGCAUUCUGUUUACAGAUAUCCUGGAGAUUGUGAAAUGUGUUUUUGUUCGGACUGCAUCUACUCUCCUUGAUAGUGCAAUGUUACUAAAAUCAAACAAAGUUUGUUGUUUAUGAAUCAUGUUCUCUUAACUUGAAAUCAACUACUAUAUAUACCACAAUUUCACACGUUAUAUUUAAAAUAACAAAAUCACGAAAAAUAGUUUGAAAUAUUAUUUAUUAAUACCGAUGAUCUAACGUUUUAAUUUUUGGAAGAAAUCGUACAUGAUAUCGUAUUUAAAUUUGAAAUCAGUACAAAAUAUUUUACAUGCUAUACAACAUGAUGUUAAAAAUGAAAGAGGGAUGGACUCCAUACAAUCCAACAUUUUGGAUUGCAAACCGAUAUUUAUUGGUAUUUUCUCAAUGAUAUUUGUGACUUACCCUCUAAUAAAAGUGAUAAAUCGGGUUAAUAUUCAAAUUCUUUUUUGUGGGUUAACACCCAAAUUCUUUUUUGUUGCUACGUUGCGUGGUAUAAAUCAUGGAUCAUCCUUGUUUAUUUAAAAAAUCAAACAUUUUAACUAUUUUUAUUGAAUUUUUUCUCUCUGAAAACAUAAUCACAUAAUUAUUUUUUUUUGUUUUUUUCCUACAUGCUGAAUUUUCUCCCCGAGAAUUUUCAAAAUAUAAAAUGCAAAUAUAGUUUCAUAUAUAGGCAUGCAGAUGUAUCUGUUUUAGGGUCUGUUUGGGAAUACUGUUAAAAAUUGCUGCAGUCAGAAAAAAUGCUGUUGCAGAAAUCAUAUAACUGUUUGGUAAUUUUUUUGAUAUAUGCUUAAUUUGAGUUAUAAUAUAAAAAAUAAUAAUUUUUUGGUGAGGUUUGAUAUUGAAAUUUGUAACAGCUUCCUGCAAAAGUUGAAAACAACUUUUUCCAAAAGUAUGAGAGAGCCUACUUUUUCUAAAAGCAGCUUUUUAGCUAAAAUCUGCUGUUCAGAAAAGCUGUUUUUAGUUUUACCAAACAGUUUUUCACCUGCUUUUCGGCAAAAAGAUGCUGUUGCUGUUGCAAACAGCAACCCCAGACAUUGUCUUAGCCGAUGUGAUGUGACGCUUUCCAAUUUUAGUUGCGCAAGUUUCUCUAUAUAUAUGAUGUACUACACAAAAACUGGCAAUUACAUUUUGGGUAAUGCGUCUUUAAUACCAUCAUCGUAAACUGGUUUAAAGUGGAGCUUAGCCAAUUCUGUCUGAUUGGGUUGGGUAUAUAAGAUGGGUGCAAAACUGGAGAUCGUUAGUAGUCCUUGUGGAUGACAUGGUAUCAUAAACUUUCGACGCAUAAGAACUGCGUGUAUAGCAGCUAUGAAUAAGUAUAAAGUAAUUGAAAAAAAAUGCCCUGGUUGUGAAAUUCAUAAACUCAAAUAUUCAACUACUCGCAUCCCUGUCAAGCAUUUGAUCUUUGUCUGGGUUGUUACUCUCUCAGCAGGUCCUCUCUCUCUCUCUCUCUCUCUCUCUCUCUCUCUCUCUCUCUCUCUCUCUCUCCCCCUCUCUCUCUCCACCUCUCUCCCCCCUCUCCCUCUCCCUCUUCUUAAUUUCAUAUUAACCUUACAUGUUAAAGCGCUAAAAUGUUGCUCUUGUAUGGUUAAAUAAUUUUUUGUUACGACUUAUGGUUCUUUAUCAAUUCUUCUUUUGGAAUUGCAUGCUAAUAUACGUCUUUGGUUUUUUAAUUUGCAGCCUUACCGAUAUCCUCCCUGUUUACUUUUGUGUAUUUUAUGGUAUGCAUAAAUCUUUCUUUGAUGAAGCCGCGGGCACUACUCCAGUAGAAUUUGGGAGUGUUAAUUUAAUUGAUAUUUUUUCUGAUUCGACUCUGUUUUUAUUUACAUUCGUAGAUGUUCUAUUUAUGGUGUUUCCAAAUUCCGCAUACUGCAGAUAAGGGACUUUCAGAUUGCAGAAAGAGAGGAGGACAUUGGUUACUAUGCUGGAUUUCUAAGCAAGUUUAUAAGAAAUAUCUACUUAAAUUACGCAUCCAUUCUAUAUUGUUGUUGCUUUUAACAUUUGUUAUCCUAUUAGGUUCCUCAUUUAUGUUUGGGAGAGCUCUGACAUCUGUGCUUUGGGGAAUUUUGGCUGAUCGUUAUGGUCGAAAGCCUGUGAUUAUAUUUGGCACAAUUUCAGUGUUAGUUUUAUGAUCCCGAGUGUUAAUAAUUCAUUGAUAUAGUAGGUUUCUGUUAAUAAUCUUUGCCUCCAUAUCUUUUGAUGAUUACAGGGUUAUUUUCAAUACUCUCUUUGGCCUUAGUACAAGCUUCUGGAUGGCAGUUUCUACGAGGUUUCUUCUAGGAAGUUUGUGCGGAAUACUUGGCCCUAUGAGGGUAUGUUGAUAUUCAUCUAAUUUCAUUGCACUUCUGCAGUACAUGAUACUUGGCUUGAAAUUCAAUCCGGCAGGGUAGGUUUUGCUUGAUUCAAAUUAAAAGAGUGAUACACUGAUACACAGUUACACUUAGAAUCUGUAUACCAUGGUUGUCAUGUCGGUCGACUAGUCGCGACUAGUCGACGACUAGUCGACUAAGCGGUGAAUGGAUGUCGACUCAACAUGUCGACUAGGUGAAUGUCGAUAUUUCGGUCGCUUGGUCGACUAAGCGGUCGACUAGUCAACGACUAGUCGACUAGUCGAGUUUGGGCCACCGACUAGUCGACUGUUUUUCUGCAAUUUGCAUUCUGCAUAAUUAAUUCUGCAUAAUUUUUGUUAUUUGUUUACUAUACUGCCACAUCACAUCAGUAUCACAUAAUUGAUAUCUAUCAAUUGUGAGCUUGAACUUUAUAUAUAUCUUACGUGAUCGUGAGUACUUUGCUUUGUUGUUAACUAUUUUCGCUUUUCCAUCAUUCUCUUUAAGUGUCCGGUUCUUAAUUCCUUAGAAUCUGGAACAAAAUAUUAUGGAAGGUACAUAAUACAAAUAUAUGUAUGUGUUUAUAUGUAUAUAAUAUUUUUUAAUUCAUAAUAAAUAUAUAUAUUUUUUAGCGACUAGUCUACGACUAGUCCACGACUAGUCGACUAGUCGUCUAGCGGGAGGUCUAUCGACUCGCCUCGACUCAUCGACGUGACAACCAUGCUGUAUACCAGUGUCAUCACGCAUUAGAAAUAAUGGCAGUAUUCUUUUUACAUUUACGACGAUCAUCCCUAUCAGAGCAUGAAACCAUAAAUGCCAUUCAUCCGAUCACGUCUCCUGAAAUAUAUACGUUUGAGAUAUUGAGUGAAGCUGCACAAACAUUUUUGGUCACUUUGAAAUAAUGAAGUCAUACACGUAAGAUUGUAUGUUUCGUUUGUUUAAGUUUUAUAUGGUACAAUGGUUCUUAAGUCACCUCCUUUGUAUUUUAUUAUUUAAACAUCUUUUAUCUGUAAUUUCAAAUGUCAAGUAACUUAAUUUCACUUUUGAUUCCAGGCAUAUGCUACAGAAGUUUGUCGUAGAGAACAUCAAUCUUUGGGAUUGUCAGUCGUAUGUUGUUACCUUUUUCAGUUUAACUCUCUCGAUUGCUCUUUCUCUGAUUCCUCAUGAGAUGUAUUGUCAUUUCAGAUUAGCACAUCAUGGGGGGUAGGGCUGGUCAUUGGACCGGCUAUUGGAGGCUAUUUUGCACAGGUAUGGCUACUUUUCUUGUAAGUUUAUCCGUUGUUUUACUUGUUAUAGACAACAUUUUAUCGAACUAAGAAGUAUCAAUGGGUGUUUCACAUAUAGGUUGAUUGUUGUUUUACUUUGUGUUACUCAUAUAGUUUUUUCUAUUCAUUCAUUCUGUAGCCAGCAGAAAAUUAUCCCAACAUAUUUUCUGAAAAAUCUAUCUUUGGAAGGUAUGUAUGUGUAAUCUAAUUUAUGUAUGUGUCAUUACUGAUUCCUAGAAUUUUAAUAUUCCUUGCUGAUGUGGCAACUAUAUACACGUCAAUAUUUAUGUCAGGUUUCCGUACUUUCUGCCUUGCCUUUUGAUAUCACUCUUUGCUUUCCUUGUAUCCAUCAUCUCAUUUUGGCUCCCGGUAUGUUAGUCCGAGCUGAAAUUUUAUUUGUAGUUCAUUACCUUUAUGUUUUGCCAUAUUACUAUUGUCUCAAAGGUUAAAUUACAGUCUUUUUUCCGAAUGCCCUCAUGCCAGUUAUAACUGGUUUAGUGUAUUGAUAUCAUAUAACUAAACUACAGAUGAAGCUUGAUAGCCAGUUGUUACCCUCAUGUUCUGUAGCUGAUUUGGUUUUUACUUCCUUUUUCUGGUUAUUUUCACGGAGAGUGUAGUGGAAGCAACUUCCAUGUAAGUACACAAGUACAGAGAUUGACAUUGUUCUAUUUCCCAAUCCUGGGUUGUUAUAGGAAACACUGCACAUUCAUCAUGGAAAUAAAAAUGAACAAUGUGAUGCAGCUGAUGCAUUGGAGAAUUCAAUGUAUAAGUAUCGUGUAGACGGAGUAAGUCGUCAUGGAAAUAAAAAUGAACAAUGUGAUGCAGCUGAUGCAUCGGAGAAUUCAAUGUAUAAGUCUCGUGUAGACGGAGUAAUUCGUUCCAAAGAGAGGCUUCCAAGUUCUAAACUGAGCCUUUUGAGAAACUGGCCCCUGAUGUCUGCCAUAACUGUGUAUUGUGUUUUCCAGCUCCAUGAUACAGCCUAUGCUGAGGUAAUCGCCUUUCUUGUUUAAUGCAUAUAAAUUUAUAAGAUAAGUUUACAUAUUUCAUAAUAAAUUUUCCCAGUCAUUGAAGUCCACAAUUAGAUAUAUUGUAUGAUGUACUUAUGGAACCUCGGACAUCGAUCUUUACUCUAAUAUCAUCAUAGGGAUAAACCAUUGUUGACUCUUGUAUGUGCCUUGAAACUGUGGUCCAACCAGAUUCAGGAAAACCUUUUGUAAACUCUGGGGUUGAAACUUUUUCUUUGUAUAGUGAACCCUUUAAAUUCAGACCACAUGUGUGCAUACCUAUACCCAGCUUUAGGAUAGCCUACAUUGCUCCAUUCUAAGACAGAGAGAAUUAUAAAAACUCUGUUCUUUUGGCACUUUCCUGUUCGCUUAACAUUUCACAAUCUGCAUAUUUGUCUCAAACAUAUGCUUUAUUCUCUUCAGGCAUUCACAUUGUGGGCUGACAGCCCUAGGAAGUAUGGAGGACUGCACUAUAAAAUUCCAGAAGUUGGUGAAGUCCUCGCCAUUUCAGGUAUUUCGGUAGGGAUGAUCAUGUAUUUAGGUAGGGACUUAUAGUCCUGGAAGAUCAUGAUCAUUUUCCUAGCAAUUGCCAAGUUAUACUUUAAACUUCCACCCUUCUAAUCUGAUAGCGGGGAAAUUGAAAACCGUAGGCUGCAAAACAUAGUUUGAAGAUCUCUUGUUUUAAGAGUGACAAUAACUACUUUAUUAGAUUCCCAUCUUAUAGUUUCAUCACUCUGGCACUAUAUAUGUUGGAUGUUGUUUGUUGUAUCUUUAGAAAAACUAGUGUCCUAUCUGUUGGUAAAUUGUUCCUACUCUUGUCUGAGAGACUUGUCCAGAAAAAUCUAUAAGUUACUCAUGUUAUCAAUUACUAGAACUGAUCGGAAAAAUAAUUCUCUGAGGUAGCCUCAUCAAAGUGAUCAGUAUUAACUUCACACGAUUAGUUGACAUUAUUUUGUAUAUACUCCAUUUCAUAUAUCAGGUAUAUGAUUAUAUUAUAACUUAAAUUGUAGUGGAAGCUACUGUAUGAAGUCUGUAUCGUGAGAGCACUGACAUGGUAAAAGCUAUAAUUGACAACACAAUUGCAGAUGAGCAGUGUUGGCAACUAGAAUUGCACGGGAUGAUGAAGAAGUUUUUGUGAUUAUUAGUUUUAGGUAAUAUAUUAUAUACGUAAACAAAUUAAAAUUUCUGAUUACUGACUCCUUUAAUGAUGUAUCAGGAUUUGGUCUGUUAAUUCUUCAGAUGUUUCUUUAUCCUGUACUGGAGCGAACUUUUGGUGCCAUCUUGGUUUCUCGUAUUGGAGCUGUAUGUCCUGAAAGAAAACGUGAUAAUCUGUCAUUGUUCAUUUGACAUGACUUUAUCCAGAUAUAUAUGGUUUAAUCCUUUUUGUUGUCUAUAUGAAGGUUGCAACCAUACCGCUUCUAACAUGUUACCCAUAUAUAGCUAAGUUGUCCGGGAACUUGCUUUUUGCUGUGCUCAGUUGUGCAUCUAUCUUGAUGAAUGUCUUGAUGGUAAGUUGAUUAGAACCAACUCUUUAAUUAUACUAUCCCCGACAAUUAAAUGCAUGUAAUAAUUAGCUGAUAGAUAGGUGGGUUACGCUUGUUCUAACUGCUAAUCUUCUAACAGAUUUUCUGAUUCUGUUUCUUAAUCAUAACCAGGUAUCAGUAUCGACAGGAUUGUAUCUUUUGCAAAACAGGGCUGUGGUAUGUUUUACUGAUUAACAAGUGUAGCUCUAUUUCACCCUUUAUUUUUAGGUAUCAGAUAAGUUAAGACUAACUGUCAAGAACUUGGCUUCAGUCCAGUGACCAACGAGGAGCUGCCAAUGGGAUUUCUAUGUCAGCCUUGUCUCUUUUUAAAGCAUUUGGUCCAGCUUGUGGGGGGUCAUUGUAAGUUUUCGUUUAAAAUUGGCUUAUUAUGCAGAAGUUUGUGUUGCUCUCAUAAAUCAUUUUCCAAGUCGGACAUCUUACUUCCUGAAACUCUGACACAUACAUAAAAUUUCCUUGAUACUCAUAAGUCCAGACUUGUAGUUCCACUCUCUUAACUUUAUGUCUUUUACACCGUCACCAAUAUAUUUACAACUUACAAGGUUUAACGCGGAUUGCCUAUCAAACUUGCAAAAUCACUGCUGCAACUCUAGUCAUUUUAUAAGCAUUAUUCAUAUUAGGUACCAGAUAUAUAGAUGAUAGUGUUUAUCUAGUCUUCUAUCUCAUUAUUCCUCAACUUCGCGCAGCUUUUCUUGGGCACAGACGCGGCAGAACCCUACUUUUCUUCCAGGUACACUGUCCAUCAGAACUACUAGCAGCCAUAAUGCUCAGUUUCAAUAUAUCUGCUCCUUAUUAAUAUCUCGAGUCUCGUUCUUUACUCAAAGACUGCAAUAUUUUGAUGCAGGCGAUCAAAUAGUAUUUUCCAUUCUGAACUCGAUUGAAUUCAUUGGGCUUGCUAUGACCUUCAAACCUUUCCUUGUGUUACCAAAUGACGAUAGUCAGUAAUACAAUUUGUGCCUUGCUAUAGUACUCGCUUCCUUGUUCGAAACUCAGAGUUUCUGUAUGCCAUGAGAUUGAUUCAGUGCGAGAAUUGCAUUCAAGUAAAGAGUGGAUUGGAUGUAGAAUUACUGAAGAUCUUCAGAGGUGGCGAAAUGAUUUAGAAAAUGUGUAUCAAAUGUGUAAUCGGUAUCUUACUUGAGGCAACUAAAUAAUGUCUUUAAAAACCUGGUUACAACGUUAGUUCAGGUUACGUGAAAUUGUUAUUUAUAAAAUGAUAUGAAGCAGGUCAAUUAUAUCGAUUAAAUUAUUUGAAUUUACUAUUUUAUAUUUGAUUUUUCUAUGAUGUGCUCAUGCACACACGAUAAACAUAAAAUGUAAAAAGUUUAUGUUGUUCUGAUUAGCUUAUACUCUUUAAUAAUAAUAGAUUUCUCCUAUCACGAUAAAUAUAUCAAUCAAAAUUAUCCAAAUUCAUAUAUUUUAAUGUUUAAUUUUCAUGAACAACACAAAAAACCCUUUUAUAUAAUUAAACACAAACUUGCACCGAGGUAAGAUGAAGUUGUUCUUUUGUUUUGAAAGUGGAGGCCAAAUGAUAUUGUUUGACAGUGAAAUUAGAAAAUAUUUUUAAAAUGUACCUGUUUAUUUUAUUUAAACAUAAAUGAACGCAGCGAACAAAUAUUCACGCGGAGAAAGUCCAAUCCAAUGCAAAACUCACGUAUACCGUCCGACCUUUGAAUACCUACUACCCUUGACCUUGACACCUUCUCAGCUCUCUCUCUCUCUCUCGUUAACGACUAAAAAAAAUUAGAAGGAAAAAAAAACACGGGGCGAUUUAGGGGUCGAUUUAUCCCCAAUCCAAAACCCUAAAUCGAACCUAACCCUAACCCUAAUUCCAAUCAUGUCCAGAAAACACUUUCUCAUUUCCCUUUUCAUCCUCAUCAUCACCCUCCACACCCUCCCCACCGUCCGAUCAACCUCCGACGAUUCCAAUCUCUGCUCCAAUUCCCCCAUCUCUCUGUGCCCGAUCAGCUGUUUCCGACCCGACCCGGUUUGCGGCACCGACGGCGUGACCUACUGGUGCGGAUGCGGCGACGCGCAUUGUGCGGGGACUAGGGUGGCUAAAUUGGGGGCGUGUGAUGGUAAUGAUAGCUCUGUUUCGGGUCAGGCUUUGUUGUUGAUUAACAUUCUUUGGCUUACUCUUCUUGCGUUUUUCGUCUUGUUCGGGCUUCUUUGAAUGGGGAAAUUUGAUUUAAUUGUUGGUUUGAUUGACUCUGAUCAUUCUUUUUGUAUGUAGUGUACAAUUGUUGUCGAGUUUGAGUAUAUGUAAACUUCGGGUGUCCAUGGAUUAUAUUUCAAAUCGGAUGUUAUUCUUUUGAAUCUUAUGAUCAUAUAAUUGAAGUAUUGGUUGCAUACACGAAAUGUUUUUACUCUAGCAGAAUUCUGUUUGGCGAAUCUUUAGAUUAGAAUGACAAUUAGAUUACUGGAGUUAAGACUAUGUUCUCCAGCUCGGUGACCGGGUCAAAGUGAAAGUUAGGCUUUGAUUUGUUUGUGUUAACACUAACAAUAAGAGUUACAUGGAGC